UCGCCCCAUGUACAUUUUAUACGGACUGUGUUGCGCCAUUGAAAUGAUUCAUGUUAGUCACAGUUUGCCGUGCUUUUGAAGUUUACACAAUUGUGCCGAACUUAACUGUCUCUAUAUAACGUUGUUAGUUUGUGUUUAGAAUAGCAAGCUUCACAUACUGCAGCGUCACCUGGAGCGCGCCGUCUACCAAGUUUCUUUGCGUUGAAGUUGAGUGGCACGCGCUCCGUUUGGCUAUAGCUAGCUAGGACUAUUUUCGUACUCAUUGGCUAGCAAUGUGUUGUCAUUCGUAAGUAACAUCAUAUCUUAACUCAAUCAUGCCUUAUAAUAACUAGUCAUUAUUGACAAACGUUAACAAAGUCAACGCUUUGAAAGGUAGUAGCUAGCUACCAUUGGUUAUAGCUAGCGAAAUUAGCUAACGUUGCAUGGAAGAGUUUGGCGUAACUUGAUAGAGGCAACGUUACAAGUAAUCGAAUACACUUUAAACGUGUUUUUCUAUUUGCAAGUUAGCUUGUUUACUUGAUACGUUAUUUCUACAUUGGCUUGAGCGGCCAGCCGACGUGUGCAGCCGUGUUUUUGACAGCUUUUUAGAGUAUAACGGUAGUCCUGUCUGUCUUUAGAGGGGCGUUUACCGUGAAGUGUCAAACUAGCCGCCCUCGUUUUGCUAAUGUGCAGCACCAGCUAAUGUUUUAAUCUGUAACUACUGUAACGUUAACGGUAGCUCGCCAGCUAGCUUGGAUAUUAUGUAAUGUCAAUGAUUAUUCUACUGUACUGCAUCAUAGAAUGCCGGUUAUGUCAAUUCUGCUGUCCAUUUAGAAUUUAUAGCUAACGAAUUCAUGUUCGUUUUUGCUUACUGCCUGAGUUCAGUAGAUAGCUAUUUUUUGCUAGCAAACUCGACUGCAUCCUGUUUUUUAACGUUUGACAGCCCCAGAUAUAAACUGUAGCUAACUACGUCACGUGAGCAAGGGAAUAACAGCGCACGAGCUAGCUAGCUACAUCAAUACUUUUUCAACGGGGAAUGCAGCAAGCCAUUCAGCGUUGCACGAGGAAUAUUUCUUGUGAAGACGGACUAGAAGCCAUAGAGCUCAGAAUUCCAGCAAAUUCGAACUGAAUGGAUAUGAUCUAGUUUGGAAAACUCCCAUUUCUGAUUAAGGAUCAAGAAAUGGAUAACCAGGACAAGAGCUUAGAGAGAGGUGAAGAGGGAAGCUUCUCGGUUAACGCAGGCAGUUCCAAGUCCACCACAUUAACUUCCGUGAUGCAUUUGCCUGGCUCCACACCCCAGCCUCCAGCCAGCGACUCCUCUAACGGACUGAAUGUCACUAAGAUUCAGGGUGAGCUCUCCACAGCAGGGACAGCCUCCAUUGGACUCCCUAUAGAGGAGGCUGAAGUAAAGUUAAUGGACAAGGCCCUGAGAAUGCAGAACGCACAGAAACAGCAGCAGAAUCAUCAGCAGCUGUUUGAGAACUUUGCUCUGUUGGAGGAGAGCAUUUCAGAUUUGAAUCGAUCCAACACCCCAGGGAGCUCCGUACUUGCAUGUUCUAAUUACCUUUUCCCUCUGAAAACGGAAGACUUUUCACCAAUGGAUAAGGACAGGCUUGACAUGGGGACAGUCAGCUUUGGACAGUCACUGAAGGACUUGGAUGUCAACGAGAGGCUCCUUGGUGACAAUACACUGGACAUUCUGCGGGAUUUGGACUUGCCUGGCUCUCUGUCUGACCUGAAUGAGUUUUACCUGGCUGACGAGGCCGCUUUCCUUUCCUCCCUGUCAGUGGAUGAUGCCCUGCUCGGUGACGGCAACAUGGAAACCAAGCCCAUAGUCAGUAGCAGUGGGGGAAACUGUAAAAAUGUGAAUGGCGCAGAUCAGCAGCAACUGGGCCCAGGGAUCUCCAUGCCUGUCAUCAAGACAGAGAAGGAUGCUGACACCUCCUUCAUCCAGCUUUACACCCCAGGGGUAAUCAAGCAGGAGAACGAGCGCCAGAGCUACUGUCAGAUAUCCAGCCUGGACAUACCUGGUACCCACAGCUCGGUGGGCUCCAUGAGUGGGCCGAGUUACCACUACGGCGCAAACACAUCGACGGCAGUCAGCGUACAACAGGAUCAGAAGCCUGUCUUUGGCCUGUAUCCGCCGCUGCCCUCAGUCAGUGACAGCUGGAACAGAGGCCAGGAAUUUGGGGAUGGAUCAGGGAUGUCAACUCCAUCCAGCUCAUCUUUUCCUGUCAGCUUCAGCAGUCCAACGGCCAGACCCGAGGCCAGCAGCUCCACAUCUUCAGCCCCUGCCAAGCACAGCGGUCCAACCCAUAAGAUCUGCCUGGUGUGUUCUGACGAGGCCUCUGGCUGCCACUAUGGAGUCCUCACCUGCGGAAGCUGCAAGGUCUUCUUCAAGAGGGCCGUUGAAGGAUGGAGAGCACGACAAAACACAGAUGGACAACACAACUAUCUGUGUGCCGGGAGGAAUGACUGCAUCAUAGACAGGAUCCGCAGGAAGAACUGUCCGGCGUGCCGCUUCCGCAAGUGUCUCCAAGCAGGGAUGAACCUGGAAGCAAGGAAAAACAAGAAGCUGAUCCGAUUUAAAGGUCAGCAGGCCACGACAGAGCCGAACAGUCCCGCACCUGACGAAAGGGCCUGCACCUUGAUCCCAAAGUCCAUGCCCCAGCUGGUGCCCACCAUGCUGUCCCUGCUUAAAGCCAUCGAGCCAGAGGCCAUUUACUCUGGCUACGACAGCACCAUCCCCGACACCUCCACCCGCCUUAUGACCACCCUCAACAGGUUGGGCGGACAGCAGGUUGUUUCAGCCGUCAAGUGGGCCAAGUCCCUACCAGGGUUCCGGAACCUUCACCUGGAUGAUCAGAUGACUCUGCUGCAGUGCUCCUGGCUGUUCCUCAUGUCAUUCGGCCUGGGCUGGCGCUCCUACCAGCAGUGUAACGGGGGCAUGCUGUGCUUCGCCCCUGACCUGGUUAUUAAUGACGAGAGGAUGAAGCUGCCCUAUAUGACUGACCAGUGUGAGCAGAUGCUGAAGAUCUCCACUGAGUUUGUGAGGUUGCAGGUGUCCUACGACGAGUACCUGUGUAUGAAAGUCCUGCUGCUGCUCAGCACAGGUGGACCUCCAGGGCAACGGAAAGCUACGUGACUGUGACUGCUCACUACACCACAGAGGAGAGGGAGAUGCGAAGUCCGGUGCUACAGACACGCCCCCUCCCUAUGAGAGUCACACAGGCACAAAUCUGGAGCAGGUACUGCUAGGAGCAGAGUGGAAGCUAGAGAGGCCCAAUAGCAAUAUACCAACCACCACAGAUAAUACCAAGUAAGUGCAGUGAUAGAAGCUGGCUUGGUGCCACAGGUAGCUUGCUUUGCACAUGUGAUCAAUUUAGCAUCCCAAAGGGGAAUCUCAGUGAACCAGAUGGACCGCCUCUUUGGGAGGAUCAGGAAGGUGGUUUCUUCUUCCACCGAAGCACAACAGCUGCUCAUGUGCUUAAGACCAAGCAAGAAAUCCUACAGCUACCGACCCACAAGCUCAUACACCAUGUCGCAACAAGAUGGAACUCCACUUAUGACAUGUUGGAGCGCUAUCUUGAGCAGCAGGCAGCUGUAUACUCUGCCCUGACAGACAAGACCCUGAAAAAAAAGGAAGAUAUCGUCACCUUGUCUGAUGAUGACGUGAAAGUGGCAGAGGAGGUCCUCCAAGUGCUCAAACCCCUCAAAACGGUUACAACCCUACUGAGCACUGAAACUGCACCGUCUGUCCAUGAUCCUACCUCUGAAAACAAGGAUUCUACAAUCCAUGGCCCCAAGUGAGGAAGACGGCACCAUCACUAGAGAUGUCAAGGCUGCCGUUUGAGAGGACCUGAACCCCAGAUACCCCCCUUAAUGUACAGGACUACCUUCAUAGAUGUACUGCACUGGAUCCAAGGUUCAAGUCUCUGUCUCACCUAGACCCUGCCCUACGCCGGAGGACAUACAGUGAUCUCAACAAUGAGAUUGUGGCCACUGAAGAGGGUCAAGCCACAGAGCCGGGUCAAGCCACAGAGCCGGGUCAAGCCACAGAGCAGGGUCAAGCCACAGAGCAGACUCAGAGGAAUCUCCUUCAAAAUAAUUUGGCCAUGAAGGAGCUUUUCGGGGAGACCUUUGCGAGCAAGGACACAGGCAAGACAUUUGCCAACACCAUCAAAGAGGUGGCAUCCUACAAGGCAGCAAGCAAUGAGUGUAAAUACCCUCACAUUGCCAUGAUGGCAAGAUGCUACCUGGCUGUGCCUGGCACUUCAGUUCCCAGUGAGAGGGUGUUUUCCACGGCAGGGGACAUAGUGACUGUAAAGAGGUCUACCCUCUCCCCAGACAAUGUAGACAUCCUUAUCUUUUUGAAAAAGAAUUUGAAGUUAUAAGCUCAGGUUUUUUUAUGAUGUGGACACAGGCUAUUUUUUCAUUCACUAUUGUUCAAAGGAAGAAGGUAUCAUGCCUCAUAUUGCACUUUAAUUUAACAAUUGCGUAUUGAAUAUUUUAUUCUAAUAUUUUAUUUAAACAUUGAAAAGUUCCUUGCUUUAAGUGUUAUUUUAGUAAUAAAUGGAAAGCAAAGUUAUA